GAGGAGUUUGUAUUCAAAUCAUGAUCAGAAAUUCUGUUUUUCUAGGAACUGAUUGAUUCCUUUUUGAUGAAAUUUGGACAUUGAUUGAAAGUGCAGAAGAAGAGUAAUAUCACCUCAGGUUUACUUCUGAGGAAUGCAGUAAAUAGAUACUCCAUGCUUUAACCCCAAUGACUCCAACGAAAAAUUGAUGUACAAAUCUAUGAAGAACAGUCUGGAAAAGAAUAGCACAAGGAACACAGGCCCAUCCAGAAGGCUGUAAUGCCUUGCUUUUUCCAUCCUUGCUGCUGGUGCUGGUGAUACCCUCAGUGUGAAUUUCAGAUCAGCAGAUAUAAUUAAUGAUGGACUGAAAAUCAGCAUCUACAUAUCAAGACCCAGGAGCCAUUCAUUGUGCAUCCAGUUUGCACCAAGCGAUGUUGAAAUAAUGCCUAAGGUACUAUAAAGUAGUCUGAAGGAGAAAUACAAAGCCUUGAAAUCAAGCACAUAAAU
rnacentral:lncRNA from 1 species